rnacentral:rRNA from 1 species
AUUGAACGCUGGCGGCAUGCUUUACACAUGCAAGUCGAACGGUAACAGGCCGCAAGGUGCUGACGAGUGGCGAACGGGUGAGUAAUGCAUCGGAACGUGCCCAGUCGUGGGGGAUAACUACUCGAAAGAGUAGCUAAUACCGCAUACGAUCUAUGGAUGAAAGCGGGGGACCGUAAGGCCUCGCGCGAUUGGAGCGGCCGAUGUCAGAUUAGGUAGUUGGUGGGGUAAAGGCUCACCAAGCCAACGAUCUGUAGCUGGUCUGAGAGGACGACCAGCCACACUGGGACUAAGACACGGCCCAGACUCCUACGGGAGGCAGCAGUGGGGAAUUUUGGACAAUGGGCGCAAGCCUGAUCCAGCAAUGCCGCGUGCAGGAAGAAGGCCUUCGGGUUGUAAACUGCUUUUGUACGGAACGAAACGGCUCUGGUUAAUACCCGGGGCUAAUGACGGUACCGUAAGAAUAAGCACCGGCUAACUACGUG